rnacentral:rRNA from 1 species
UACGUAGGGUGCAGGCGUUAAUCGGAAUUACUGGGCGUAAAGCGUGCGCAGGCGGUCUGCUAAGAGAGGUGUGAAAUCUCCGGGCUUAACCCGGAGCGGUCAAGUGAUACUGUCGUGCUAGAGUGCGGAAGGGGCUACUGGAAUUCUCGGUGUAGCGGUGAAAUGCGUAGAUAUCGAGAGGAACACCUGCGGCGAAGGCGGGUAGCUGGGCCGACACUGACGCUGAUGCGCGAAAGCCAGGGGAGCGAAGCGGG